rnacentral:rRNA from 1 species
CAUCCCGGAGACCUUAGGAACUAGGGGUGCUUCCAUCUGGAAGAAUCUGGAGACAGGUGCUGCAUGGCUGUCGUCAGCUCGUGUCGUGAGAUGUUGGGUUAAGUCCCGCAACGAGCGCAACCCUUGCCUUUAGUUGCCAGCAGUUCGGCUGGGCACUCUAAAGGGACUGCCGGUGUUAAACCGGAGGAAGGUGGGGAUGACGUCAAGUCCUCAUGGCCUUUAUGACCAGGGCUACACACGUACUACAAUGGCCGAUACAAAGGGCAGCGACACUGCGAGGUGAAGCCAAUCCCGUAAAAUCGGUCUCAGUCCGGAUUGGAGUCUGCAACUCGACUCCAUGAAGUUGGAAUCGCUAGUAAUCGUGGAUCAGCAUGCCACGGUGAAUACGUUCCCGGGCCUU